GCCGAUACUAAUCGAUCCUCGCGUGGUUACAUAAGAAGAAAUUCCUGAGGAGGAAAAAUGAAAAUCCCUCCCAGCUGACGCUGUGAGGAUUACGAACAUGGGAAAUUCCAUAGCCGGAAGGUCGUCUGCCAACCAUUCGACUCAGAGAGUACAUGUUGCCAGGACACCGACGGAGUGUCAACGUGCGUUCAUCACAUAGACAACACACUUGCAAACACUCAUGCUGUUUUCCGAGGAAAGCAUGUCAUCGAUUUUGGAGAAACUCAACAAACUGAAAAAGUCGGGAGAUGGAGAAAUUCAAAAGAUGAGUAUGUUAUCGAAGAAUCAAAAAUUUGAUGUUC